rnacentral:tRNA from 1 species
GGAGAAGUACCCAAGUGGUGAAGGGGACAGUUUGCUAAACUGUUAGGUCUCAAUAGGGGCGCGAGGGUUCGAACCCCUCCUUCUCCGCCA